AAUGUAUUUGAGGAGCAGAGGAAAUAGGAUUCCUGGCUCCAGGUUUUCCCUCUGCCCCUGGCAAAGCGGUACAGAAAUAGCAGGAUGCUGGAAUCGCUCAGCAGUGAUGCAGAAGGUAUGAGCUUUUUCAGUUCUGGUCCUGAUGCUGAGCUUGUGGUGAGGUCUCUGUGGCGCAAUGGACGAGCGCGCUGGACUUCUAAUCCAGAGGUUCCGGGUUCGAGUCCCGGCAGAGAUGGUCUCCAGGACAGGUGUCUUAAUUUUUCGCACAUCCUCAAAGGGACCGUGAAAGCCACUAUGAGGAACGUCACCUCUUCCUUACAGGUUAUUCUCUGGAUCAACUGAUUCAAUAAUGUUUGGAACUGAGUCAUCAUCUGCAAAAACCCACCAUCUGCGACUUCUGAUGUUCCGAAUUGGCUGGUCUUGUUUCUGAAGUGGAAACUAUGCAUGAGAAUUCUUCCAUUCCUCCAUUUUUCCUUCCAAAUUUUGCUGCAAACACUGUACACCUAUGAUAUCAUGGCUUUUAAAUUAUAUAUUGUUUUUAAUGCUUUGGGUGUCCACUGCCUUGAAUUCCUUGUACGAAAAAAGCGGAAUAUAAUUUUUUUAAUGAAUCUAAAAGAGCCUGCAUGCUUUUCCUUAUAUCCCCACAAUGGAAAAGGCUAGAGACUUGACUUUAUUUAUUUCUAAUGAAAGCUGAACAUUCAUGAAGGGGCCUGGAAUCUCAGGGGGAGGCAGGCCCCCUGUGGCAACCGCUGCAACCAGUUACACCUUUCACAGGGCUAUCAAGAAGGAACAGAACUGCAUGGAGAAGAUCUUCCACUUUUCUCAACCCAGAAGGACACUGCUAUUCCUCCUUUGGGCAAAGUUACAGCUUUGCCAAAAUUUCAUUGCAGUGCCCAUGGUUUGAAGAUUGGAGUGCACAACAACCAAGAGCUAAAUUUCUCCACAGACAGAGCAUCCGGUUUCCAAAACUCUAGAAUUCCUUUGGGGACAAAAAUCACUCUGCACGCUCCCUCAUCUGCCCGUCUGCGGAGACACCACCUGCAAAAUAAACCCUUCUGGAAAACACACCGCCCAGAGUGUGUUCAGCUGGGGAUGUUUAAUAUAUGUUUUUUCCAUCCUCUGUGGAUGCAACCAGAAGGAUCAACAACCAACCUCCUAAUGAUCUUGUUUAUGAAUCUGCCUCAUUUCCCCACUGCGACAGGAAAGGCCCCUGUCUGGCAUCAGAAUAAAGUUUGUUGCAAGAUUUAAUUAGAGAUACUUUGCCUCCAUGAGCAUUCUGGGGCCUCUGAAUUCUUCUACUGCUUAGUUUAAAACUGAACCAGAUAAAAAUUCCUGGCUGAUCCCCACACCCAUCCACCCAGCCCCCUAAUCCCCCAAAUCCUCUCCCACCCACUUCCCUUUAAACCCAGUUUACCUGGCCAGACCAGUAGAGCCAUGAGCAGCAGUGGUGGUACAGAAAACAGCAUGCUGGGACAAAAGACCGCAGUGGCUCUUGGGAAAUGUAGUUUUCCCAGGGGCUACUGGAAUUUCCCAUGGGCCAUAGAGCCUUUCAUCCUUGUGUGGUGUGAUGCAAUGCACCAGGAUUGUAAAGCAAGUGGCCAGCAGAGGGGUCUCCAUCCUUACCUCUCCUCACAGUGGUACAGGAGCAUCACCACAGCUCCCACUGCUGGUGUGGCCAAGUCACUGGGUUUAAAGGGAAGGGAGUUUGGGGGGGUCAGAAGACUGGGUAAAUAGACAGGAAUGGAGUAAAAAACUGGGGAAGAAUUCAGGGGCCUCACCAAGAUUGCCCAAGCGUUGUGAGGCUCCAAAGUUCAGUUUGAAGGAAAGGGUGUUUGGGGUUUGGGAAUCAACUAGCUGGAGGAAUGGGAAGCAGAGAAAGAGAUGGGCCGAUCACUUCUGAAGUCACACCAGCUGAGAAAGUAUUUCCUGACCUGAGAGGAAGCAUAGCAUAGUUUUUAUUUCGGUCUUUGACCAGCAUCACAACAAAAUAAACAAAAAGCAGUUAAGACAAUCUACUCCAACAAAGUAAUAAGGGAUCUCUAUAAAAUUACCUUAAAACGUAGUAUAGUGAGUAGAAGAAGCUAAAAGUCAAGACCUAAAACUAUAUGUAAAAAUUAAUCAACACUGGUAUCAGAAUGAUAUUGAGUAUAAAGGGGGUGGGGCAGCAGAAUUGUGUGCCUAAUACAGAAUGGUGUCAAAUCUCUUUCCAUAUUGUAUUCUAUACUAUGUAUGGCAUCAGCACAUCCAACAAGUGGAAGCAACAUACAUACAGGCGCAAAAGUGUUUAGUUCUUAUUAAACUCUAAAUGAAUUUUGUUAGCUAUGAGGCAGAACUUGGCCACAUUAUAGGAUCUAAAGUCAUCCUGACCUGUUAAGAGGAAAUUAAGAUAAAAAGAAUCAAUACAGUCUGGAUAGCGCUAAUAUUUGGGGAGAUAAGCUUAUGCUGAACGUCACGAUAGUACAAUCUCACUGGAGACAAAGGGGGAAAUGCGCUCUCUGUACGGGAUUUUUUGAUAUCUCCCUUCCAUCACAGCUGUGGGCAAAAUGUUGCAUCAGGCCAACGUCAGGGCUCUGUGGUACUUUGGGACUGUUAGCUGGCUUAAAUAGUUGACAGGGGUAUGGCUCAGAAUUUGAUUGCCACAAAAGACACCAACUGGAAUGGAGCCCUGAUCAAUUUGCCACUACAUAUUAUAAACUCUUUCCCUUAUUUUGACUCUGGUGCUUUCGUAACCCAAGGUUAGCAAUGCGGCGGGAAGAAAGCCAUAAUGGUUUCGCCUUUCCUCUACCCCUUUCCCCCACCCACCUUGAGUGAUCAUGUCCUUUAACACAAGUGGAGCUAAACCAGUGGGAUGACAAACCAGCUUAAACCAGAAUUCAAAAAUAAUAAUCCAAGCGCUAGCCUCUGCUUUGAGCAACCCCUGAGAGGAAGCAGCACGACUUAUUUUCCAGCCCUCUCACUCAACCCUGGAAGCAUUCACCCAUCUCUGGUUUUAAUGAGCCUUUGACCUAGGUUGAAAAUCAGAAGAUCUCGCCAACAUUGGCCUCACAGUGCCCCAGAACUACGGAACUCAUCAAGGGGGACAUUUGUUCACGGGGGAGGCACAAAGAGUUUAUCUCCAUCCUCACAGACUAGUACACUGAAACUUGGUACACAGACAUACCUUAUAAUGAGAACAAUCUAGAGUUGAGGCAUCCAUACUUCUGCCCACCAAAACAGGGGACCAGAAGAGUAGCCCCUGUGAUGCCUGGAGUAUUGUGAGGUUAUUAGCAGCCCUUUACUACCACUUGAGGAAGAUUUUAGCACUCCCCCUGAUCCCCCAAGCAUCUCGGGGUAGCUGUGUCUUUUCUGCUGGUCCAUCAUUUCCCAGGACAUGGGAAUUGACCGCUAUAGAGCUACAUGGGAUAUCCAACCGCCGAGGAUUUAUUUUUGCUUAAAACCAUUGUAACCCUUCUUUCCUGCCAAUUGAGAAAAGAGACACCUUUUAAAAGUGGUGCUUCUCUUUGCUGAGCAGAGAAAGAACAACUGGCCAUAACCAACCCCAGCACAGCACCCCUCCAGCGGCUGUUGAUGGCAUUUAUCAUGUUUCUUUUUUUAGAUUGUGAGGAUCCUGGAUCCUGUAAGAGACUUAUAAAGGAACUCUAGUCCUCCUGCUAAGGGGCUGGGGUCUCUGCCCAAGAAUGCUCAGAAUCACAAGGCAACCCCCCCCCCAUUUCUUUGGGUGAGUCUGUGGCAGCUAGAGAAGCAGAGAAGUGGGUCACAACCUGUGCUUAUUAUCUCGGCAAACACUGGCAUUGGCUUCUCUCUCCUCCGACUUGCCUCAAAAUGCAGAGAGAGGAUUGCAGCAAGCAUCAAAAGGCAGUUCCAUUACUCUGUGCUUCUGUUGCAGCUGGGUGCAGAGAGGGGCAAAGCACCCUUCUGUCCUCUCUGCCUCAUCUCAGCCAAGGAUGAUGGGAUGUCCAUUUGCCCUCUGCUUUCAGAAAGGGAGUCCCUCCAGCAAACCAGGCAUGAUAGCCAACACAAACUGUUACUCUCUGGUCCCUAGUCGUCCCCGGUGUUGGCACUUCCACACAUGCAAGUUUAUCAAGUGGCAGCAGAAAGAGAACAGAAUUAGAGUGCCUGAGCUUUCUUCUGCCAUGGGCAAUAAAUUAUAGCAGAGGAUGAUGGGAGUUGUAGUUCAGCAACAUCUGGAGUGCCCCAGGUUCAGAAACCCUGGUAUAUGGCUACUAUGUGUAUUCAAGUGUGGAAACCCCCUUAUUUUUUUGGGGGGGGGAGACCGUGGCUGAGUGGAAGAGUCCCUGUUUUCCAUGCAGAAGGCCCCAGGUCCAGCCUCUGGCAGCAUUUCCAGGUAGGGCUGGGAGAGACCCAUCUGAAACCCAGGAGAGCUGCUGCCAGUCUGAGCAGAUGACGACUACUACUACUACUACUACUACUACUACUACUACUGAUAUUUAUAUCCCGCUCUUCAACCAAAGUUCCCAAAAUGUUCUUCCUUGCCACUCUCUGCUAAUUGGGCUCGGUUAAUCGCCCCAAAGGGACGGGAAUGAACCGCCCGGGGCCACAUCCUGCAUCCCAGCUAGGGAAAGAGCUGGCUUCCUUUCCCCCCAAACAAGCCACUUAAUUGAGAGCUCCCCGGUGUGGGUGACGAGAUUCUCCCUUCCUCCGGAGAAAGAACCCACCAUGGUCCUGGACCUCUGGUUUCUUCGGGAAGUUGCUGAUUUAUCCAUCCAGCAUGGGAGACCCACUGGGGACGCUGCUCCAAGCCAAGCUGAAGGAGUGAUUGUUUUCUUCAGGAACCUCAAAGGGCCAAGCAGGAAAGCACUUCUCUCUCUGGAGCUUUGAGAUAAGUACAGAAAAGGGACCCUCUUUUCAAGAAGAACCAACUGCACCCUCGGCAGAAGACAGCAGGAGGAGGAGGGGAAGUCUGCAAAGAGACACAGGUCAGUGGGCAAACCUUUGUCUGCAGAAACUCGAGAUCCACGUUGACCUCAAGCGUCUCUCUCCUUAGCAUGUGAACUGCAGAGAUCCCCAAGUGCCUGUGCCCUCAGAUCCAAGAUGAGUGGCCUGCUAGACCUGUAGCCUCUUCCGUCCUCUCAUUUCAAACGCCAAAACUUUAUCCUGCCCCUGGAUAUCGUCAUCCAAGAACCAGCAUGGUGUAGUGGUUAGCGUGUUAAACUAGGACUGGGGAGACCCGAGUUCAGACCCCCCUUCAGCCGUGAAACCUACUGGGUGGCUCUGAGCCCGUCUGAUGAACACGAAAACGAUGUUUAGCACUGCACGUCCAUGGCUUCUGUUCAACAUGGUAUAACUUAUUGCAUGACUAUCUAAAUAUGGUCCUUAUUUUGGCUUUCAUUUAACAUUGUGUUGUGAUGGUUUCUCUCCGUGGCUCUUACUUUAUGGCCCCUACUGAACCGUGUAUCACUCAUUGUAACACUAUCUAUAAUAUGGUUCCUGUUUGGGGCUGUGUUUAAUACUGUAUUAUUCCGUUUGUGGUUAGAGAUUCUGACAUGGUUAUGAAUAUAUUUUUGAUCUUCUUCACACAUUAGUAUUCUGUUUUCUUCUUUCUUCUAGACUUCAUUGUGAGUAUUAUCCCCUUUUUUUGUAUCUCCCCGGAGGA